rnacentral:rRNA from 3 species
AGACCCGAAACCCGGUGAUCUAGCCAUGGGCAGGUUGAAGGUUGGGUAACACUAACUGGAGGACCGAACCGACUAAUGUUGAAAAAUUAGCGGAUGACCUGUGGCUGGGGGUGAAAGGCCAAUCAAACCGGGAGAUAGCUGGUUCUCCCCGAAAGCUAUUUAGGUAGCGCCUCGUGAAUUCAUCUCCGGGGGUAGAGCACUGUUUCGGCUAGGGGGCCAUCCCGGCUUACCAACCCGAUGCAAACUGCGAAUACCGGAGAAUGUUAUCACGGGAGACACACGGCGGGUGCUAACGUCCGUCGUGAAGAGGGAAACAACCCAGACCGCCAGCUAAGGUCCCAAAGUCAUGGUUAAGUGGGAAACGAUGUGGGAAGGCCCAGACAGCCAGGAUGUUGGCUUAGAAGCAGCCAUCAUUUAAAGAAAGCGUAAUAGCUCACUGGUCGAGUCGGCCUGCGCGGAAGAUGUAACGGGGCUAAACCAUGCACCGAAGCUGCGGCAGCGAACGUAUCACCCAAGACAACUUUACGGAGUUGACGAUUGACGGAGCGAAGCGACGUCAAAGCGUUCAUUAAAGUCGAGUUGGCUUAGGGAUACGUUCGUUGGGUAGGGGAGCGUUCUGUAAGCCUGUGAAGGUGUGUCGUGAGGCAUGCUGGAGGUAUCAGAAGUGCGAAUGCUGACAUAAGUAACGAUAAAGC